rnacentral:sRNA from 1 species
UCAUACUGUUCUCACCCCAAUGGGCUUGG